UACGAAGGGGGCUAGCGUUGCUCGGAAUUACUGGGCGUAAAGCGCACGUAGGCGGCUCUUUAAGUCGGGUGUGAAAGCCCCGGGCUCAACCUGGGAAUUGCAUUCGAGACUGCGUAGCUAGGGUGCGGAAGAGGGAAGCGGAAUUUCCGGUGUAGCGGUGAAAUGCGUAGAUAUCGGAAGGAACACCAGUGGCGAAAGCGGCUUCCUGGUCCAGCACCGACGUUCAGGCACGAAAGCGUGGGGAGCAAACAGG
rnacentral:rRNA from 1 species